rnacentral:rRNA from 1 species
GCAGUCGAACGAGAAAGUUUUCUUCGGAAAGCGAGUAGAGUGGCGCACGGGUGAGUAACGCGUAGGUAAUCUACCCUUAUACCUGGGAUAACAUUGGGAAACUGGUGCUAAUACCGGAUACACUUCUUUGCUGCGGGGCAAAGGAGGAAAGGUGGCCUCUUCAUGAAAGCUACCGUACAGGGAUGAGCCUGCGUACCAUUAGCUAGUAGGUAGGGUAACGGCCUACCUAGGCGACGAUGGUUAGCGGGUCUGAGAGGAUGAUCCGCCACACUGGAACUGGAACACGGACCAGACUCCUACGGGAGGCAGCAGUGAGGAAUAUUGCGCAAUGGGGGAAACCCUGACGCAGCGACGCCGCGUGAGUGAGGAAGGCCUUCGGGUCGUAAAGCUCUGUCAGAAGGGAAGAAGUGUUAGGUGGUUAAUACCCAUUUAAUUUGACGGUACCUUCAGAGGAAGCACCGGCUAACUCCGUGCCAGCAGCCGCGGUAAUACGGAGGGUGCUAGCGUUGUUCGGAAUUACUAGGCGUAAAGGGCGCGUAGGCGGCUGGAUAAGUCAGAUGUGAAAGCCCACGGCUUAACUGUGGAAGUGCAUUUGAAACUGUCCGGCUUGAGUAUCGGAGGGGAGUGUGGAAUUCCCGGUGUAGAGGUGAAAUUCGUAGAGAUCGGGAGGAACACCGGUGGCGAAGGCGACACUCUGGACGAAUACUGACGCUGAGGCGCGAAAGCGUGGGGAGCAAACAGGAUUAGAUACCCUGGUAGUCCACGCCGUAAACGAUGUGAACUAGAGGUAGGG